UCCCUAUUUAGGCGAGUGUUCCUCUUAGUAUUUAAAGAAGAGCAAUUAAAUGAAUGUGCACUCAAGACAAGAGCCUCUUUGGAAGCCAGGCUACGUGGAGAGUGAGGAUGGCUUUACCAAAGUUGGCACAGUUUGCUGUUAUCCUUUCUGUUAUCUGCUACACUCUGGACAAGUCAGGAUUCAACUCGUUGGUCUUCACCUUCUUUGAGGAAUCAGUUGAUUCUAAAUCACCCAGCAUUUAUGCCAG